rnacentral:rRNA from 1 species
AUUGAACGCUGGCGGCAGGCCUAACACAUGCAAGUCGAACGAGUGGCGGACGGGUGGGUAAUGUCUGGGAACCUGCCUGGUGGAUGGGGAUAACUAAUGGAAACGGUAGCUAAUACCGCAUACCAUCAGAUGUUCCCAGAUGGGAUUAGCUAGUUGGUGGGGUAACGGCUGACCAAGGCGACGAUCCCUAGCUGGUCUGAGAGGAUGACCAGCCACACUGGAACUGAGACACGGUCCAGACUCCUACGGGAGGCAGCAGUGGGGAAUAUUGCACAAUGGGGGCAAGCCUGAUGCAGCCAUGCCGCGUGUAGGAAGAAGGCCUUCGGGUUGUAAAGUACUUUCAGCGGGGAGGCGGUACCCGCAGAAGAAGCACCGGCUAACUCCGUGCCAGCCGCCGCGGUAAUAC